UAAUUGUAGAACUACAAAGUGCUUCUAUAUGGUAAGUGAAGCCGGUGGGUGUCUGAUUAAUUUCUUAAAUAUGUAAAUCUACAGUAAAUAAUACCUGUAUCUUUUGUCAUCCACUGGAAUGAAGUCCAUAAGGAGGACGUACUCCGCUGCAGGGUCCAUGUCUGUGAUGUGCACUUGAAAUGUAGGAAACAUCCUCCUUGUAAAAACACAAUACACAAAUACACCUCUGACUUCCCUCAACGUCUUACUGUGUUAAACAAAUGGUGAUCAAACUCCUGCCAAAGUCUGAACGUCUCCAGCUGAACUUUGAUCCGUGCCACCUGAGGGGCUUUGGCACAUGUACCACUGUCCUCUUGAAAGCAAGGUAAACCCAUCAUGCAGCCAUGUGCCAACUUAGAGACUACAGAUCAAAGCAAAGAAACAAAUAGCUGCUGAUCUUAUACAUGAAGUCAAGGGGCUGCAUUAAGAAGAACAUACAGACGACAAAAUUACAACAGUACUACAUAAAUAAUACCUACAUUCAAACUACACAUGAUUUACUAGCCUGCCAGACUCUGUAUAUACAGUAUAAGUGAUGUUUAGAUUCAACAGGUCUGGUGGUUAAUCAUGCCCGAGUGUGGCUAGUAAAAUUGAACAUGGUUAUCUGGUUGAUUUAAGGGGGGAAUUACUUUUUCACACAGGGCCAGGUUGCCAGAUUUUCCAUUAAUAAAU